GAUGAACGCUGGCGGCGUGCUUAACACAUGCAAGUCGAACGGUGAAGGCGGAGCUUGCUCUGCUGGAUCAGUGGCGAACGGGUGAGUAACACGUGAGCAAUCUGCCCCUGACUCUGGGAUAAGCGCUGGAAACGGCGUCUAAUACUGGAUACGAGCUGCGAAGGCAUCUUCAGCAGCUGGAAAGAAUUUCGGUCAGGGAUGAGCUCGCGGCCUAUCAGCUUGUUGGUGAGGUAAUGGCUCACCAAGGCGUCGACGGGUAGCCGGCCUGAGAGGGUGACCGGCCACACUGGGACUGAGACACGGCCCAGACUCCUACGGGAGGCAGCAGUGGGGAAUAUUGCACAAUGGGCGAAAGCCUGAUGCAGCAACGCCGCGUGAGGAACGACGGCCUUCGGGUUGUAAACCUCUUUUAGCAGAGAAGAAGCGAAAGUGACGGUACCUGCAGAAAAAGCGCCGGCUAACUACGUG
rnacentral:rRNA from 1 species